AUAAGAUAUUUUAGGUAACUUCUUGUUUGAGGUGAGGGCUCUGUGCAGGUCAGGCACUUUCUUCCACACCAAACGGAGACAACAAUUUCCUCAUGGACAUUGCUUUGUGCAUGCAGGAAAUCAUUUUCCCCAGACUGUUUCUGAAAAGUUGGAAGCACAUUAUUAUCUAAAAUAUCUCAUGCAGUAGCAUUAAGAUUUUCUUACAGUCCAAACCGUGAAAAACACAUCCAGGCCAAAAGUAUGGCUCCAUCUAUAUACAUUUGGCCACCAAAUG